UACGGGGGGAGCAAGCGUUGUUCGGAUUUACUGGGCGUAAAGGGCGCGUAGGCGGCGCCGCAAGUCGACUGUGAAAUCUCCGGGCUUAACCCGGAAAGGUCAGCCGAUACUGCGGGGCUAGAGUGCAGAAGGGGCAACUGGAAUUCUCGGUGUAGCGGUGAAAUGCGUAGAUAUCGAGAGGAACACCUGCGGCGAAGGCGGGUUGCUGGGCUGACACUGACGCUGAUGCGCGAAAGCUAGGGGAGCGAACGGG
rnacentral:rRNA from 1 species